ensembl:misc_RNA 7SK 7SK RNA
ACAUGUGAAGGUGAUCUGGCUGUAACAUCUGUCACCAGGGCUGAUGUGGCUAAUCUGACUGGUAAGGCAGGUGUCCCUCCCUCCAUCAUCGCUCCACAUGUGUGCCUCUGAAGCUAAGCACUCUGUUGAAGAGGACAACCUUCCCUGAAAGAGGAGGACCAUUGUUCUAUCCAGGAUAUAUGCUAGAACCUCCAAACAAGCUCCCAGAACUCCUCAUCCACAGAAGAAUCCUAAUGGCCUAUGUUGUAUGCCUUU